rnacentral:tmRNA from 1 species
GGGGCUGAUUUGGGUUAGACAGCAAGGUAAAUGGAUGUGCAAGCAUGCCGAGCCACGCAAUAACGCUCGUAAAACAGGAUUGUACAACAAUAACUGGCGAAACCAAUUUUGCGCUCGCUGCCUAAACUCUGAAUGGGUGAGGGCUUAAUCCCGGCACAAGGUGCCGGGACGGGCUAUCUCCCGGAAACCCUGCCCGGCGGUGUCCGAUCCGGAGGUACCAGGAAAGCCAGGGCUGGCCGGAAUAUUGUCCCGUCAUUCCGGUAAGAUCAAAGGGGCUAAGGAGCAGGUAGGCCGUCUGUUGUCAGCCUGUUCCCGACAAUCAAUAACAGACUAAGCAUGUAGAAACCACUUCUGUUUCUUGUCUGGACCGGGGUUCAACUCCCCGCAGCUCCACAA